CUCUUUGAUUUUAAACCUACGCAUGCGUUGAAGCCACGGCGGAGCCACCUUUAUUAGAAGCAUGGAAUGAUGGGACAGAUAAUCCAACAGGCCAUGCGGUCGUUAUCCUCGCUAUGUUUUCGAAUGUUUUUAGUUUUCACUGAAAGUAUAGAGAGAAUUGCUAAUCCUUUCGUGUUGAUAUUUUGUCUUCCGAUAAUAAGUCAGUCGUAAAGUUUCUGUUCAUUUGUGUAGUCUAUCUAAUCAAAAGGAAUAGAGAUAAUGACUGAAGAAGGAGAGAUUUCAUCCCCCGAUGUCGAGGAACAUGAGAUGAGUGGUGAAAAUGUUGUUAAUGUGCUUGAUGAUAUAUUAGGUGAACCUGCCCAUGAUGAAUUUGCAGCAGAAUUAGAUAAAGCUACAAAACCUACAACACCUGUAACACCAGAGGCUCCUAACUUUCCCGAGCAGUCUAAAAUCUCAACAAAGUCCCAAAAAACAGUCGGUGAAGUUAAAGCCCAUGAAGUCUCAAAGAGUAAACCCAACAGUGAAGGUAAAACAAGUCCUGGUGAGAGCAGGACAAAACCAAAAGCGCCUGCCUCCAAAAAGUCGAAAGUGACAACCCCCAAAACUAAAAUUCAGGCUAAAGUUAAAGCUUCGCCAAGUGCCAGUAGUUCUGGCUCAGAAAAGUCUAAAAAAGUUACUAAAACAGCCACUAUUAAAGGAGGGAAUCAAGAACCUGGAACUGCUGCAAAAGAGAAAGUUGUUUCAAGCCCUGCAAAGGUGAAAGCUGAGGUCAAACCUAAAGAAGCAAGUAAAUUGUCUCAAAAGCCGAAAGGUGGCAUAAAAGCUAAAGUUGGUGCUGCUUUAAAAGUAACCAAAGCUGUUGCUAAAGGUAAAUCAGGGGAUAUUUCUACAGAUGAGAAAAAGACAACUGCUACUGAGAUACCUCAUCCGGUCACAGAGGACGGUGAGCCUAGAACUGCAGAAAAAUCCAAUGCAAAACCAACCACUGAAAAGAAGAAAGUCCUCAAGAAAGUUGUCAAAAAGGCUGCUGCAACAAUAGGAAAAUUUACAAAGUCAAAGAAUGUUGCUGCAAACAAAGUAGUAAAGUCAGAAGAGAAGACUCAAGGAAAUGUACCAGAGAAAAAAACUAUUGAAGGUGCAGAAGCAGGUAAGGCAGAAGAAAUAGUUGUUUCAGAUACUAAAGCGAAAACAGAUGAAAAGACAACCACUGUCAUAACUGAGAAAACCACAGCAAAGAAAAGACCAGCUUCAUCUAAAGUUGUUGCAGUUAAAGCAAAAAAGCCAAAACAAGAAGAAAAGAAGCCUGUUAAGAAAGCAAAGACAGUUGUUGUUGCAAAGAAAUCAACUAUUAAAAUGGAAGAACCUGAUGAUAAACCAAAGGAACAAGCUAAGAAAGAACUCUCUGCUGAAAUGAAAGAUGUUGAAAAAACUGUUGUUGAGGAAUCGGAAUCAAAACCUGAUGUUGAAAUGACAGAUGAAACACUUGAAGAUGGUGAUGAAACUAAAAUGGAUGCUAAGCAAGAAGAGUCAGACAACCAAAUGACUGUUGUAGAUGACGUAGAUAAUAGUCCAAGUGCUAGCCUUUCAAAACGCGCGUCAAGGUCUCGUUCGCGAUCAAGGUCCUCAUAUUCUUCUAAUAAGUCGGGUUCUGAAAAUGAAUCAAAUGAAGGCGAGAAGCCCGCGAGAAAAAGACGUCACAAAUCAAUAUCACCAAUAGUAUAUGAUAAAGAUUCGUCUGCGAGUGAAAGUGAUUCCUCUGGCUCUGAAGGAAGUGGUACCCCUGUCAAAAGUAAUGUUGAUAAAGUAGAAAAGCCAAAUAUUGAUGAGUUUUUGCUGGAUGCACGCUUCUUUAUCAUGAAGAGUAGCAACCAUGAAAACGUUUCAUUAUCCAAAGCGAAGGGAGUCUGGUCCACACCGUAUGCAAAUGAAAAGCGAAUAAACAUUUCCCUUAAGAAAUACCAGAACGUUAUACUGAUAUUUUCAAUCAAAGAAAGUGGAAAGUUUCAAGGUUUUGCUCGGGUUUUGGAUGAAGCAGAAUAUGGUGGUCGCCCUGUACCGUGGGUUUUACCUCCGGGACUAAGCGCGAAGGCACUAGGUGGAGUUUUUAAAGUGGAGUGGCUUAACAGGAAAGAUUUGCCUUUCGCGAAAUGUUCACACCUACGAAAUCCCUAUAAUGAUAACAAAGACGUUAAAAUCUGCCGAGAUGGCCAGGAAGUGGAGCCAAAUAUUGGAAGGUUGUUGUGCAAGCUUUUUCCUGAUGAUGAAAACGUGAAUCUAGGAAGUAAACGUCGAUCAAAUCGUGAAACGGAGCACAAGAGAGUGGAUCAAGGGUCACCUAGGUCGCUCCUUUUUUACGGCAUGACAUCAUUUGAACGAAUGAACUAAGAACUAUUAAUAUUCCGUGAAAAUGCUAUCACAUUUACGAAGUGGACAUUGCACCACAGGCUUUCUUGCGCGUCUUUCUAAAUGUCCCAUAGGGAAUGGGUUAUUGAGCUUUGAGCUGAGACAAUUUUAACCUACUUUUAGCCAGGGAAAGAUAUUGCGGUUUAUUUGUUCCAACCGGUAUACUGAAAGGCAGUCCAUCAGUCGAUGAUGAGUUUGUUUACAGGAAUGGUACGUUUGGCACUCUUGAGAGAUGAUCUACAGAGCAAUGCUUCUUACUCUAAUGGCUAUUCGUCCUUUCAGUCUGUGGUGUCGCGAUAAAAGUCUUAAAAAUGUGCGGUGUUUGCGUAAGUUGAAGAUUGGCGAUUGGUUGGAUAGCGUAUAUUGGCUGGUCUUGGAAAGACGACUAGUACUGGGAAUGUAAUGGUGGUAGAAAAUUUCGAAGAUUUGUAAUCAAGAUUGUACUGGUUAGCAACGAGAUUGUAUCGUCGAAGUUCUCAACAAUAAUGUCGUGCUUUUAUCGUUGAUUGAAGUUUACAACCUGCCUAUUCGAUAACUUGCGCGAUAUCAAUAUUGCUCUAGCUCAAUCGUAUGAACUUUUACCCCAAUGAUUUACUGAACUUUACCCUAUCUCUUGCUGCUCAUUGAUUGCCUCACGCUUUUAUAUUACGAACUUAAUGCCUAUCGAACUGAUAAAUUGAGUGCCGUGCAGUUUGAGAACUUUGCCGGGUUAAUGCAGCCACGAGAAUUAAAAGUGCAAAGGUAGCAAAGGACAUGAAUGAACUAUUGAUUAUUUGAUCUCUUGGUGAAGAUCCCUCACUACCCAAGAGAGCCGUCUGGUGAAGAUACAUGUAUAAUGACCCGGCAACUGGUAAACGUAUAUUGUUUACACAUUGAAGUCUGGUGAUAUGCAUUAGGCAUGACUAUAGAAAGAAGUGAUAGACCAGACUUCAUUGUGGUGAUGGGUUACAAAUAUCCAAAGGAAACGUCGGAGGGUGUGCUUGCCCUAAGAUUGAGAAAUCAAAACUCUAGUCUGUUUCGUGUAGAUAUGAAUGAACACUUUAGUUUCGGCAAAAUCUUUCAGUUCUCUGUAGAAUUAAAAAAUUGUCGCUUUGUGAUAAUGUAUUUCAGAUGCUUAAAAUUUGAUACAAUUUUUACAUUCACCCCAGAUUCGCGUCCUCUCUAUUUUCCUUUGGAUAUAUGAUAGGCACUGUUGGUAGAUAGAUAAAAUGCAGGUAUUAUACACGGUGUUAAGGUGACCGCGACAAGAUCUAAAAACAGAAACACAGACAAAUGCGGACUCUUUCCUACAAUACGUGCACUUUUCAGUUUCAACAGCGGCUACGACAAGAUACGAUGAGAAAGUUUGGUUGCAAAAUUACAAUUUUCGUCGUGGUCACCUUCUUCAUGUGUAUAUCAUGUCAUAUAGUUUGUUGUGUAUGUUUUUUAUUAUGAACUUGUGAUUUCAGUAGGAGGCGAUCUCACAGGCAUUCAUCCCCAUCUCACCGCCGCAAACGAAGACGCCGUGAUAGAGAUGGAAGACAUCGUUCACGGGAGCGCUACGAAAGC